AAGAAAAAACUAGUUUUAAAGCGUCGUAUUGAUUCGGAAGAUCCUACCGCCGGACAUGAACAAAUAUUUUGUGAUGGAUUUAGGUACGCUUCCGAUUAUAUUUUUCUUUAAUUCAGUACGAGGAUGUAUGUUUAAUUUUUACAGAUCUACGAAUUUGAAAAGAAAUAUUGUUCUAACAAUUGGUAUCAGAGCCAUUUCUUUUCUCUUAUUGAAUUUUUUUGGGAAG
rnacentral:lncRNA from 1 species